rnacentral:rRNA from 1 species
UGCAGAAUCCCGUGAACCAUCGAGUUUUUGAACGCAAGUUGCGCCCAAAGCCUUUUGGUUGAGGGCACGUCUGCCUGGGUGUCACACAUUGUUUGCCCAAACCCCAAUUGCUGUGGUAUUUGGGCGGUUGUUGGCCUCCCGUGCGCCCCUUGCUCGCGGUUGGCCCAAAUAUGUGCCUUGUUGAUGUUGUACACGGCAAUCGGUGGUUUUAUAGACCCUCGGAUAGUGUUGUGCACUCUCGUCUCACUGGCAUUAAUGGCCCUAAUGCAAUCAUUGCAUACUAUCGUAGCGACCCCAGGUCAGGCGAGACUACCCGCUGAGUUUAAGCAUAUCAAUAAGCGGAGGAAAAGAAACUUACCAGGAUUCCCCUAGUAACGGCGAGCGAACCGGGAAGAGCCCAGAUUGAGAAUCGGUUGCCUUGGGCAUCCGA